AGCAACCUGCUCAGGUCCCCUUCCAUGGUGUGGAAGCUUUGUUCUUUCGCUGUUCACAAUGAAUCUUGCUGCUGCUCACUCUUUGGGUCCGCACUAGCUUUAUGAGCUGUAACGCUCACUGCGAAGGUCUGUGGCUUCACUCCUGAAGUCAGCAAGACCACGAACCCACCGGAAGGAGGAAACAACUCCGGAAGCACCACGUUUAAGAGCUGUAACACUCACUGCGAAAGUCUGCAGCUUCACUCCUGAAGUCAGCAAGACCACAAACCCACCGGAAGGAAGAAAUUCCAGACACAUCUAAACAUUGGAAGGAACAAACUCCAGACACACUAUCUUUAAGAACUGUAACACUCACCGCGAGGGUCUGUGGCUUCAUGCUUGAAGUCAGCCGGACCAAGAACCCACCGGAAAGAACCAAUUCCUGACACAAUCAGACAGAGAAUGCUGAUUCACUAUGCAGUGAAACAUGCCUAACGUGUCAACAGCUAAAUGCCCGGUGACAGUGUGGUUGUCUGGGCAACAGAAGAAGUCACCCACGCAAACACUUAAAGGACCAUACUUAUUUUACAAGAGGAACAGUUUUCAAUGGAAUGGAUAUUAAAACACACACCUGGAUCCCUUUACCACAGGUGCUUUGAGAGGCACCAUCAAGGACAGUGAGCUAACGCAGGAGAAUGGAGUCCCAGAAACCUAGGAGGAGAAGACAAAGUGUCAGCCUCUCGGCAUCUGCAGUGUUGCUAGGAAAAGAGCUCUGAUCCCAGGGGCUUACCCACUUCCACAGGUAGGAAGCGUCCCUGAGAGGACUGGAACAUUAGCAUAUCUCAGAUCCAUCUGCAAAACUUUUGCAAACACGGAACUCCCUCGUUCUAAUCUUAUCAGCAACUUCCAGAGCUGAACCUUGAUUAAUCUGGAUACAAAAAGGAUUGAAACGCCACAUAAUAAGCAUUAACAGGAGGGUGUUUCCUUUAUCAAUGAAGCUUGAUUUAUCCAUGAUGAUCUAGUGCAUUCUCCUCCCAAAAAUCAGGAUCAUCCUCUGCAUAUGAAGGAACAGACAAGCCCUCAGCUCUACCACUUUGGAGAGGGGGGGAUUGGACAGCAUGAGCCUUCAAUUGUAUCUCUUGGAUGACCAAGGAAGGCUGGAUUUCUGCACCUAAAAAAUGGAAGCACAAACUGUACAACAAAUACUCUCCAUUCAAGUUGAAGUUCUCAAAUAAGGUAUCCAAUUAACCAAUGUAUUAAUAACAUUGAAAAUAAUAAUCUCAUAGGAAGAUUCCAAAAAUUUCUGGUUUUAUAUCUAGCAAAAACUUCAUGCACUAUGUUUGAUUUGUAUGUAGAACUCAGGGUGAACAUGCCAGUGACAGUGGCAAUGAGAGGGGUAACUGGGGGCCAGAAGCAGGCUGAGGGAGAGGAGAGGAGGGGGCAGAGUGUGCUCAGGGAACCAUGAGCCAUGCAGGAUAAGCAAUAGGGCAGAAUAAACAGGACAUACCCAUCUGUUUAUUCUCUCUGUAUAAUGUUUUGAUUCUCUUUGUACCCUAACUAACCAAGGCACAGCUCAGGAAGUUGCUGCCAGGAUUAGAAAAAGGGAGUUGCACAUUCUCAAAAAGCAAUGGUACAGUGCAAAGAAUGGUAAUUAAUCCCCCAGCACACUUGACCCAGCCCCUAAAGAACUUUGUGACCUUGGGCCAGGCAGGCAGCUCCCAGGCUUCUGUUUUGUCAUUUUUGACCUCUUCUGGCUGCAGUGAUUCAUUUCCAGAUAUAGGUUGCUUCAGCUCAUCUCAAAGUCUUCUUGUAGCCUGUUCUUUGAGAAAUGGUAAUAUAUCUCUUGAAAAGUUUCUUUUUCUUGCAAAGUCACCCAAUUCAUGAGUUAAUGAGGUCCCACCAGUGAUACGAUUGCAGAGUCACAAAUAUCACUAACUGAAAGGAGUAGAAGGAAGGCGGGAAUUGCAGACACACCAUGAGUGGGUGGCCUCCAGGAGAUACACGUGAGACCAGCCCUGUGGUGGGCCAGGUCAGAAGGACUUCUGCUUAGACUAGGUGGAAACUUCUCAGCAUUCUGAGGAGUACCACCAUCUGACUGGCAGUUUGAAGGUAUCACUUGGGCUGCUGUAUCAAGAAUAGACUUCAGAAGACAAGUUGAACGUAGCAAGACCAGUGAGAAAGGUGUCAUAGCCGUCCAAGUGCAGGGUGGCAGUGGAGAUAGGAGUUAUAUUAAGGAGAGAGUCACCAGGAUUUGCUGAUGGGUUAGGUGUGGGCUGUGGAAGAAAGAUCAAAGUCAAGAAUGACUCCAAUGACAUUGUCCUAAGCAAUUGGAAUGAUGAAAUCACAGUUGUUGAGAUGGGGAACCUGCACAUGGAGUGAGUCUGGAGGAGAGAUUAGUUGUUUGGCUUUGGCCAUGCUGAGUUUCAGAUGUGUUUCGACACACAUGUGGAGGGGUUACGCUUGAAUGUCUGAGUCUGACUUUUGUAUUGAGAUGUUCCUAUCCUACUUCUUCCUACCUCCACCCUGCAAAGGAUGGCCAUGGUUAUCUUCAGUGCCCCCACAAAGCUCUGUGCAGAUUCCUGGUAUGUCACAUUUAUUUCAAAUGGCUUUACUGAGAUGUAAUUGAUAUAUAGUUCACCCAUUUAAAUUGGACAAUUGAAUGGUUUUUAGUAUAUUCACAGAGUUUUGAUCAUGUGUAACAUGGUCUAUUUUUAGAAUAUUUUUGUCACCCCUUCCCCUCUAAAAAACCUCAUAGCCAUUAGGAAACAUUCUCCAUUUCCUAGCAUGGUAUUUUAAAAUAGUGACAAUUCCUAUUUUCAAGUCUGUCAGUAAGCCUCUUAAUGGUAGGGACUUCCGUGUUAUUUGUUUUUGCAUUUCACCCUGUAACAAUUACUCAAAAAAGCUGUUGUAUGAAUGAACUACAGUUUGAAAAAUACGACCCCAAGACUGUGUGUCUUUAAGAGAGAACCAACCCUUUGCAUUCCGGUGCUCUUCGUAUGGCUGCCUGUAGCAUUUUUCAGAUCUAGUUGAGAAACCGAUGGGAGGAUAUGGAGAUAAGUCUCAUUACUCUUUUCUUUCUUGGCUAUACUUCUCUAGCAUCUGUUGUAAACAAAACAGAAAAGAGUCUUUCUAAACCUGGUGAAAAUAUCUCAAAUGCAAGGAAGCCAGUGAUGAAAAAUGCAAUAUCAAAGUUCGGGCUGUUACAAACACAUGGCAUAAAUCACAUCUGCUCAUUAAACUUAUUACAAAGAAUGAUAACAAAAGCAAAGAGAUGUCUGAAAAUGUCUUGGGAAAAAUAAAGUAGCUAAUAAAUU